rnacentral:siRNA from 1 species
AAUUUGAAAAGACAGGACCAUAU